GUCCGAAAUUUUGAUGCCUACAUUUUCUUCUAGAAUUUUGAUGGCUUCACAGGUAACCAUGCCAAAGAUAAUGCUGACAAAUGGGAGAAAAAAUGAAGAGAUUUAGAACGUUAAAACCAGGAUGCAAAGGAGACGAGCAUAUUGUCAACACUUAAUUAGGAAUUGAUACUAAACAGGUUUCACCACUGAAUAUUGUGAUGUGACUGUAGCAGUCUUAUAUUUGAAACUCAACGAGGAAACAACUGCAUUUUCAAACAGCUAAAUAUGCAUGUUCGAAAAAUGAAGGCCGACACUCUGACUGCUGAGCCAAACCGGCCAGGAUGAAGGGUACCAGAUAACUGAAGAAUUUGCAUAUUUGACAUUGGCUGUUUACCUACCUCUCAGAGGAUUCUGUGAAUGAUGCUUGAGCUCAUGAAGAUGUUUCAGGCAGCUGCAGUGUGUGUGAUUUACAAAAGUCAACUUGUUGCGAUUUUUCAGACCAUUAAAAAACCGCGAUAGAGUGAAGCUGGGAAAGUCAAAGCGCGAAGUGGAGGGACGACUGUGUAUAAAUAAAGACUCCUACUUCGUGGAAACUCAUUUAUCGAGGCUUAGAGACAGAGCAGUGACAGCUCCACCAGGGCCUGCUUAGCCUCUCAGCCUCGCAGAGGGUAAGGCUACUCUUGGGAGGAGUGCUGGCCAAGACUGUGGAGUGGUGAGUUUUGGCUCCUCUGCUCUUACCUUUAGUACCACUUAGGACAGAGGUUCCUAACUGAUUUUGUCCCCAGAGGACAUUUGGCAAGGUCUGUAGACAUUUUUGGAAGGAGGUGCUACUGGCAUUUAGUGGGUAGAGACAGGGAUGCUGCUAAAUCUCCUGCAGUGCCCUGGACAGUCUUCCACCCACUCGACAGUUAUCAGCGCCAAAAUGUCAAUAGUGCUAAUGUUGAGAAACUCUUAGAGCAGAUCACUUAAACUU